CAGUAGCCGCGGUAAUACGGAGGGCGCGAGCGUUACCCGGAUUUACUGGGCGUAAAGGGCGUGCAGGCGGCCUGGGGCGUCCCAUGUGAAAGGCCACGGCUCAACCGUGGAGGAGCGUGGGAUACGCUCAGGCUUGAGGGUGGGAGAGGGUGGUGGAAUUCCCGGAGUAGCGGUGAAAUGCGCAGAUACCGGGAGGAACGCCGAUGGCGAAGGCAGCCACCUGGUCCACUUCUGACGCUGGGGCGCGAAAGCGUGGGGAGCAAACCGGAUUAGAUACCCCCGUAGUCCCUGUCUCUUAUAC
rnacentral:rRNA from 1 species